GGUCCUGUGGUCUAGCGGUAUGAUUGUAAGCGCAUCCUAAAACACCUUCCACCAUGAAUUGAACUAACAACAUUAUCAGCUCGCUUAGGGUAAACACUAAGCUUUCUUGCGAGAGGUCCCGCGUUCGAGUCGCGGCAGGACCC